rnacentral:rRNA from 1 species
GACGAACGCUGGCGGCGUGCUUAACACAUGCAAGUCGAACGGAAAGGCCCUGCUUUUGUGGGGUGCUCGAGUGGCGAACGGGUGAGUAACACGUGAGUAACCUGCCCUUGACUUUGGUAUAACUUCAGGAAACUGGGGCUACUACCGGAUAGGAUCUCCUGCUGCAUGGUGGGGGUUGGAAAGUUUCGGCGGUUGGGGAUGGACUCGCGGCUUAUCAGCUUGUUGGUGGGGUAGUGGCUUACCAAGGCUUUGACGGGUAGCCGGCCUGAGAGGGUGACCGGCAACAUUGGGACUGAGAGACGGCCCAGACUCCUACGGGAGGCAGAAGUGGGGAAUAUUGAACAAUGGGCGGAAGCCUGAUGAAGCAACGCCGCGUGCGGGAUGACGGCCUUCGGGUUGUAAACAGCUUUAGCCUGUGACGAAGCGUGAGUGACGGUAAUGGGUAAAGAAGCACCGGCUAACUACGUG